GAAGAUCCGGCGCAGCUAAAGUCAGUGGAAGGUAGAAAGACGCCACAGCCGCCUUUCGACAACUUUUUGUUACAAAAGUGGAGAUCUACACGGAGGCGACGGCCUAGGUCGCUCUGACAGGACCCAACGACCCUCCUGACGCGUCCACCCGUCCUCGCUAGCAGGGUCCCCCAGCGGGCUCUCGACCUGCGCCACCAGAGUUCCACUCUUUUUGUCGACAAUAAUAUGGCGCCCAAACACGUGGGGCCUCAGAGAAGACUCUGGAUCCGGAAGGAGUAUCCCAAAACCAGAGCUAAGGUACCAGCUGGAGCCCACUGAAGCCUCACCGAGUUUGGGCUUCUCCUCCUGUGGAACUGGAAACCAAAAUCAUGGUAUUUUGAAAACCAGAGGUAUGAAUCUCCCUCGUUUGGCAUCCCACUGGGCCUGGACCUGUUUCACUGCUAAUGUUCUGCUGCCAAAACUAUACAAGCUGCCUGGACUAUUGCAGAAGAGAGACAGAGUCUUGCUCUGUUGCCCAGAAUGGAAUGCAGUAGCACAAUCCUAACUAAUCGUAACCUUGAACUCCUGGGUUCAAGCGAUCCUCCUGCCUCAGCCUCCUCAGUAUAGGACUACAGGCGUGCCCAGAAUUCCAGAUACUCAAGGUUGGAGAGCUACUAACCCAGUACAUGAAUUCCCAGUGUAUCUUUCAGUGUUCUGAACCUGUAUUUUACAUUUUCAGAAAAGUUGACCACAGAAGCAUGUUUAUAUUGUAUUAAAACAAACUAUUUUUCUGGAAAGUUUUCCCAUUAAGCGUCUAACCUCCAAGCAUCGAAUCCCAGGCCAAUUUGUUUCAAAGUACCAACCUGGAGAAAAUGCCCUGGAUUUGGAAGCAAAGUAUUGAAUGUUGGAAGUCUGAAUAAAGGAAUCAUACACUGUAUGUGCACCUGAAUGUACUUUACAAGCAUCAGUAGAACACUUCUGAUUGAAGCUUGGUCUUAUGAAGAUAAAAAUUUUAUGUGGACCACAGAUUCUCUAAAAAUCAAACUCCAAGUAGGAUCAACACAAAGACACCCACAUUCAGGUACAUCUUGUCAAAUGUGGAAAGGCAAGAAUGAAAUGAAAUGUUGACAGCAAGAGAAAAACAUCCCUUUAUAUACAGAGGAACCCCAGCAACAGUAACAGCUGAAUUCUUGUCAAAAGCAAUGGAGACCAGGGCUGGGAGUGGUGGCUUGCACCUGUAAUCCUAGCACUUCGGGAGGCCAAGGCAGAUGCUUCCUGUCCUCAAACAUCGGACUCCAAAUUCUUCAGCUUUGGGACGGACUGGCUUCCUUGCUCCUCAGCUUGCAGACAGCCGACUGUGGGACCUUGUGAUCAUAAUACCACAGUCUGGAGGCUAUGAAGUCCAUGAUUAAGAAGCCAGCACGUUUGCUUUCUGGUUCCAAGAUGGCAUACCUUUUUGCUGCUUCCUCCAGAGAGGAGGAACACUGUGUUCUCACAUAGUAGAAGAUGGAAGGAGCAGAUGCAGAUGAGCAUGGCAAUGUGAGAAUAUGUCAGAGGCCCCAGGAUGAAAUGAGCUCAAGUCCCUGAAAUCCCUGUUAGAAGAGUCUUUCCACUGGUUGGGAAUGCUAAUUGUAUUUUGACAACUCAAUGUUUCAGCAACUCAAAAUGUUACAGCUUCUGCAUUGGAAUAAAAAAAGGAAAGAAAACAGAAUUUGUACUCAUAUCAGAAGGCAAUCAAAGAACAUACACAUAAUAUACAUUCUAUUAUAGAGGCAUGUAUCUUAGCAUGCAGAGAAGGGACUGAAUGAAUAUGCCCAAAGAUGUGUAACACUCAUUGUCUCUGGGGAGAUGAAGAAGAAGUAUGGAAGAAGUAAGAUGAAGAAGAAGUAUGGAAGAAGUAAGCUUUAGAACCAUGCAGAAAGAAGAGUGCUUCACAGAAUGAUUGCUUUAUGAAGCAUAAGGAGAAACAGAUGAACAUGUGAACAGUGAAAGAUCUUUUCCAUGGAACUGUGUUCAUCCUCUGAUUAAAACGAAUUGUGUAAAGUUGUAUAUUGUAUUUCACCCUUAGCAUUUGGAAAUGUGCAUGUAAUUUUGGUUUUGGUGCUUCAUUACAAUAAUGCGUAGAAAGAAAAAAGGUAUUUAUAGAAUAUUGCAAAAGCAAAUUUGUAGGAUAAAAUAUGUCUGGCCAUGUGUAUUAGAUACUAGUUAACUCAUAUCAUUACUUCAUUGGUACUUCACUAAAUUAUGUCACAAAAGCAAAUACAGGAUUUUCCAGAGCAUGCUUUUGGAAAAAUCUGAAGUUUUAUUGAGGACUCAUUAAUUUUCCCUGUCCCAUAACUUACAAUUUAUUUCACAAGCAUUAUAAACUUCAGAUCAUUCAGAUAUUGCAUUUUAGUAUUGUAAAUUAUAAGAAUAGAUUUAGAAUGCAUACUUUUUGAGGAUAGGUUGCUUUCCUUAAUGAAAGUAUCAUAUUUUUAGUUUACAGUGAAAUUUAAAGAAUGGUUUAUUAUUUGAGCUACAAUUGCAAAAACUUUAGAUAAUACAUUUAAACUUGGCAUUAGAAAGAAAAAAACUUUCUAAAUAGAAAAACUUUUCAACUUUUCUAUUUUUCAACUAGAAAUUUAUACAGUUAGAAUGUUUUUAAAGAAAAAGUUUUAUCUGUAAGGGAAGUGCUUACUGCCAACAUAUUUCACCAAAGCUUAAAUUCUCAAGAGGACAUGUCAUCCUUAUAAGCAAACCAUUCUGAUUACAUCAAUCACAUUAUAUUACCUUGGGUGACUGACUUGCAUGAGAAACCAGCAGUUGUGACUUGAAUUGCAAUAUGCAAGACAGUAAAAACCAUAUUUUACUUUAAAAUAUAUUAAUGUAUUACUUUUCCUAAUAAAAUACAUUGAAAAUUUUUAUCAGUAGCCAGGAAAUUAUAGAACUAGGCAGUUGUAUUCCUGAAGCACUUUCAGUGUUCAUGAUAAUUAAUUUGAGAAGUAGACUCUUAUCACACAGUAGCAUCUGUUGAACAUUCUUGUUUUUGGUAAAAUUAAUUUCUGACUGAUUCAUGAAAUAAAUGAUAAGGAACAUAAAUUCAGCUCUUUACUGUAUGACUCAUGUAACCUAUGACUUUUUGGGGGAAGUUUCACAUAAUGGGAAUACAUUAAGAAAUGUUUUAAAUAAAAACACAUAUAACUAA
rnacentral:lncRNA from 1 species